ACUCAAAUGAAUUGACGGGGGUCCGCACAAGCGGUGGAACAUGUGGUUUAAUUCGACACUACGCGAGGAACCUUACCUAGGCUUGACAUGUACUUGACCGCUAUGGAAACAUAGUUUUUCAAGCGAAAGCUUGAACAGGUACACAGGUGCUGCAUGGCUGUCGUCAGCUCGUGUCGUGAGAUGUUGGGUUAAGUCCUUUAACGAGCGCAACUCUCGCUGUCAGUUGCUAAUCCGCAAGGAAGCACUCUGAUGGGACUGCCUAGGAAACUAGGAGGAAGGUGGGAAUGACGUCAAGUCCGUAUGGCCUUUAUGCCUAGGGCAACACACGUGUUACAAUGGCCAGUACAAAGAGCAGCAAGCUUGUAAAAGUAAGCAAAUCUCAUAAAGCUGGUCUAAGUUCGGAUUGAGGUCUGCAACCCGACCUCAUGAAGCUGAAAUCGCUAGUAAUCGCAUAUCAGAACGAUGCGGUGAAUACGUUCACGGACCUUGUACACACCGCCCGU
rnacentral:rRNA from 1 species